rnacentral:lncRNA from 1 species
AUAAUGGUAAACAAACGUAAUCAAAUUCAAAACAACUGAAAGAAAUUUCAAACAAACAAUAAAAUUCUUAAAGAAAUAUUAGAAUGAUCACAAAUUUUACUCAAAUAUAUGUCAAUUCAACCUUAAUUUAAUUCUAGUUAAAACCCUAUUGAAUUUCACUCAACUUUAGACCAAACCUAAUUAAAUCUUAAACCCUAAUAAUUCCUAAAUCCUAAGUCAAAUCCUAAAUAAAUCUUAAAUUAAACCCUAUUCCAAACCCUAAACCCUAAAUCAAAUCCUAAUCCAAUCCUAAACCCUAAACCAAACCUUAAAUCAAAUCCUAACCAAAUCCUAAUCCAAACCCUAAAUCAAACCCUAACCAAAUCCUAAACUCUAAUCCAAACUCUAAUCCAAACUCUAAUCCAACCCUAAACUCUAAUCCAAAUCCUAAACCCUAAACCAAACCUUAAAUCAAAUCCUAACCAAAUCCUAAUCCAAACCCUAAAUCAAACCCUAACCAAAUCCUAAACCCUAAUCCAAACCCUAAUCCAAACCCUAAUCCAAAUCCUAAUCCAAUCCUAAACUCUAAUCCAAAUCCUAAACCCUAAACCAAACCUUAAAUCAAACCCUAACCAAAUCCUAUUCCAAACUCUAAU